UACGAGGGGGGCAAGCGUUGUUCGGAAUUAUUGGGCGUAAAGGGCGCGUAGGCGGUGCGGUAAGUCACCUGUGAAAUCCCCGGGCUCAACCUGGGAACUGCAUCUGUGACUGCAUCGCUGGAGUGCGGCAGAGGGGGAUGGAAUUCCGCGUGUAGCAGUGAAAUGCGUAGAUAUGCGGAGGAACACCGAUGGCGAAGGCAAUCCCCUGGGCCUGCACUGACGCUCAUGCACGAAAGCGUGGGGAGCAAACAGG
rnacentral:rRNA from 1 species